GGCGACGCCGGCCUGGUCGACGCCGCGCCGCUGCUGCCGGCGCUGAUAGAUCACCCGCUGCUGUUCGACGCCGAAGCGCCGGCGC
rnacentral:tRNA from 1 species